GAUGAACGCUGGCGGCGUGCUUAACACAUGCAAGUCGAACGAGAAAUGGAGACGGAAACCUUCGGGCGGAAGCCUUCAUUUCGAGUGGCGGACGGGUGAGUAACGCGUGGGUAACCUGCCUCAUACAGGGGGAUAACAGUUGGAAACGACUGUUAAUACCGCAUAAGACCACAGCACCGCAUGGUGCGGGGGUAAAAACUCCGGUGGUAUGAGAUGGACCCGCGUUCGAUUAGCCAGUUGGCGGGGGACCGGCCCACCAAAGCGACGAUCGAUAGCCGAUCUGAGAGGAUGACCGGCCACAUUGGGGCUGAGACACGGCCCAAACUCCUACGGGAGGCAGCAGUGGGGAAUAUUGCACAAGGGGGGAAGCCCUGAUGCAGCGACGCCGCGUGAGUGAAGAAGUACUUCGGUAUGUAAAGCUCUAUCAGCAGGGAAGAAAAUGACGGUACCUGAGUAAGAAGCCCCGGCUAACUACGUGCCAGCAGCCGCCGUAAUAC
rnacentral:rRNA from 1 species